CCCAAGAUGAGUUUUCCUUUCGGUAAGACCCCUUGUAGACUACGAGGUUGAUAGGUUGCAGAUGUACGUGCGGCAACGCAUUUAGUCGAGCAAUACUAAUCGGUCGAGCUCUUCUU
rnacentral:rRNA from 1 species